ensembl:lncRNA
CUAUUUGCUGUGCCUGACUGUUUCUACAUCUUUCCCUCCUGAGUCUGGUUCAUGGGAGUUGUGAGGAAUCUGUGAAAAAACCUCGUCUGUUCUUUGUGCCACCCUUUUGCCACUACAGCCCAGCCUUCCAGGCCUGCUGCAAAGGUCAGCCCUGACUUGGCAGAGGAAGAGCAAGGGUCAGAAAACCGGGAUGGGGAAGGACUUAUUGAAGAACACGUGCAACCUGAUGAACCAGCUCCUCUGCAAAGUGGUGAGAGAAGGCUGAGGGCAUGGGACCAUGGUACGCUAUGAAUUCUUCCUCCACCGCAGAAGGAUUGGGAUGCAGAAUUCAUCCUGGGAAGGAAAGUCUGGAAAACUGCUUUAGUGUUUUGUGGACCAUUAAAAAAAAAAAAAAAGGAAAAAAGAGGGAUAUUUGUCAUUGCAGUGAUAAAACUGUGAGCAGCUUGGAGUUCAGUCAUGCCAGGGAGAGAAUAUGAUACUUUACACGAACACGUCAACGUUUGGCAGCAAAAAGAAAACCAGGUGAGGAUAAUAUUCCCAGCCUCAAGAGAUCAUAUUCUUUGGAAAAAUGAUAGGAGAAAAAAACAUCAGGGCUAUUAUCUUCUGUACUUAGAGGAAGACUGACGGAGAAAAUGCAGUCACGAUUCGGUGAAAAAAUGGCUACGAAGGCUCUUCUGUCUGCUCUGCCUUCAUUUUUACUUGGGCACCGCUUUGUCAAGGUGAAAUAUUAUGUCCUUGUGGCUUGAACCCCUGAUGCUAAAAUACAACAAAGGAAUGUAUUUUUGUUACAGCGAUGAUUGCGGCACUGUGUUCCUCAAAAAGGCACAAGCUGCAGCACAGAAUCACAAAGGAACAGAUCCAACACCAUUUGACAUAAAUGAAAAUCCUUCCAUUCGGUUCAAUAGGCUUUAAUCGGACUGGUAUUGCCUUAUUUCCCAGUUUUGUUUUGAAGUAUUCUUUACACUUAAGAGAUGAGAACUAAUCCCUUCUCUCCCUCCCUCCUCGUGUUUAUGAUCCAGGCUUUUGUAAUAGUAGCAUUUUCCUGCAAUGCCAGCAGAAUACCAAUGAAAUGUUUCUUCCCAUAGUGACACACACAAUCAUCCUCAAGUGGGAGGAAUGAUAUUUACAAUACCCUACCAGACUCUUAUCCUAGCUCCCUGGAUUCCUUCAGUCAUGUCUCAUGGGUUCCUACAGAAUGGUGUGAGAACAUGAGGAGCACCUACACUCACCAGAAAUACAAACUGAAUGGCUUAAAGCACGUAGUCUUUUGACAACUGACUCACAGAUUUUCACUCUGAGAGCACAGGCCUUACUGCAUCUGUGCUGUUGUGCUACCAUGUGCCAAACUGUAGUUGACAAAGUGAUAGAGUAGAUGAUUUUAGAUGAAGCUUUUUACUGGUAGAGAAGCCAAGAAAAACUCAUGGUUUGAGUGUCUGGAACUCCUAGACCUUUUUUCAACUUCAUUUACUUUUCAAAUGCACAGUGUAGCAAAGCUAUCAAGCAGAUAUAUCAGAUAAAGGACUCUACUGCAUCUUCGUAUUUUAGCAUUUCUAAUGCUGUUGCUCCCUUUGCAGGCAAGGGUUAUGGAAAUAAUCAGUGGAUUCACAACAAGAACAGAAGUGCUAAUGUGGUACCGAGUCCCCAAGUAAAUAAACAAUUUCCAGACAAAAUCCUUUCAACAGCAUUGUAUGUCUGUGUUAGCGCUGUGUUUCCUCCAGGAGUUACGUGGUCAGCAGCACUCCGGUUGCAGAGGAGGUCACUCACUUCCUACAGCUCUGUGCUAAAGACAGAAGGGCUUUUUGGUAGAGUAUACAACUCAGGGCUUCCAGGGAGCCACAGAAGAUGCAUUUUGUGGCACAAUUAGAGACAAAAAUGAGUAAAAAAGAAAAUCAUGGUGAGAGUGAAGGAGGAUAAAAGACAUGAAGUAAAGGCUAGUUUUGCCAGCUUCAGCAGCCAUUAGCUAAUCAGAGAUAUAAACACGUUUGUUGUUUAUCACCCAGCCAUAUAGGUACUGUAUUUUGUUACGUGAAAACAAGACCUCUGAUACUUUAUAUACUGCAGAUUAACAGGAAAGAGCUAACAGGAAAAAAAAAAAAAGACACCAUCACAAAUAGUCCUUUGCUUAUUUCAAAUAUACAGCACCUCUGCAGAAAAUACUGAUUUCAUACAUGUUGAGAAUUCAAUGUGGGAACAGGAAAUAUUUACUUUUCUUGUUCAGAGGCAAUGGAACAGCCAUUCUCCUGAAUUUUUUUUUCUUUUUUUUUCUUUCUUUCUUUAUUUUUUAUCAAAUAUAUGGAAAACCCCAUGGGGCUCCUUGAUUUCAUGUGAUUGCUACUAAUUAAGAGAUGUAGAAAGCUUGAAAUAAUCAGUUCUGAUAGGAUUUUUACCACAGCAGUUUGAAACAGCUUGCAAGAAUUGUGCAAUAUGUGUGUUAAGUUCAAUCAGGACCAACACUGGGGUCUGCUUUUUAAUGUCCCCUCUGUCCAUGGCUUACUUAAGCUUCUUAUCUCUUGUUGUGGUUCUUUUUG